ensembl:lncRNA
CAGCUUGGAAAGCAUUCAGUAGAACGUUCGGAUGUCACUCCCCAGAACACUGGUGUGCUGGCCUGCAGAUGUGAGCAAGCUUUAAAAAGGAGAGUGACUCAUGAAACAUCGCUUCGAGGGAGAAGACCCACAUACGACCAGUACGAGCACUUUAAACUAAGCAUCUAAGACAGCAGAAGAAAAAAUCAGAAGGAAACAAUGGAGAAGUAUAAAGAGAGACCACACACCUAACUCCUUCGACAGCUCUGGUACCAUCCCAGAGGUCACUGGAUGUGAUUUUACUUCUGCAAUAUCCCACGUUCCUGCAUUCUAAAGAAGGAAACCAACAGUAACCCAAAGUGUGAUGUCAUGUUGAGAGCUGGCAACUGCAGUUUCAGCCUGACACUCCCAAUCCUUUUACAGCCUUUCCAUGUUCUCAUCAUCCCAAGCCUGCAGCUACUUUUAUUGCUGGAGAAGAAUCAAGCAAAGGAGAAAUGAUCUCCUAGGGACAGAAUCCAGCCAAGUUGCUAUUUGCACCUUCUCAGCCCUUCCAAUUGCAUAUCAUACCAGCACAGCAUUUCUCUGGACUUAAUUCCUCACUCAUCUGGACUGAUUUGCCUUUCGUGAGCAACAGAAUGUUGUCAUACAUCAGGAUGCUGUCAUACAUCAGGUUGGAGUUUGGCCUUCUGAAGGCAGGAGAGUGAAAAAUGGUACUAAUGUCCUUCCCACACCAACCCUGUAUUCUGCAAAGGAAAGGACUCCAGCAAAGAAAGCAACUAACGUAACGGCAACCUAAGACCACGUUCUGAAUCAUCAGAGUCCUGGACUACUGCUACUGAAGGUGGUGUAGCUCAGUCUGUGAGGUUAAACCCCAGGCCAGGGUUGAAGAGUGAGCUGCAGCCCAUGACCAAGCUGGAAGCCAUACGCCAUCAUGAAGAAAACAAUGGACACAACUCCUUCUUCACAGCAAUUUUUACCUCUCAUAUACCCACGGGUUUUAUGUUGGGGUUACUGCUUUCUGUGCUUGGUGGGGCGGCAGGGACUGCUCCAGUGGGAAGGCUACCAGAGCUGGGGCAUAGCACUGACUGCGGGGAGUUAGGCCAAACACUUAUGGGGAUGGGGCCCGUAGGCCCAUGGGCUACAAAGACAAAUUUUCUGGGCAACUGUGAGUCUCAGUGUUACCAUCUGCAACUCUCAGUAUCUAAAUCCUCAUAUUAGCCAUUAACACUAUUCUGUGUCCAAGUACAAGACAUUUAUUCUCCUAACACUGUCAGUAGCUAAAUAUGUUAGCGGUGUGAGGCACUCCCAUGUCAUUACAGUAGGAACCAAGGGUAGAAUUAGAAAGCUUCAGAUCAGUUGUGUCUCUCGAAAUAUGACUUUGGCUUCAUGAAGGGCUCACCCGUAUGCCAACCACCUGACUCCCCAAACUAGCUGCACCGCUUCUGCUCUGACUGCUGGGAAGAUGUCCCUUUUGUCAAAAUGUUAAGACUGAGGAGCUCUGCUUGUGAGGAAGCUGGAGGCCCAAAUGCUCAGUGGUUUCCAGUUUUCGCAGUGAAGUGGGGGAUGAAGUUGCGUUCAUGUUGUCAGAUAGGAGAGAUUUGUGCCCGAGUGUAAUGUAGUUUCAGCAACAAAUAUUUCUACUGUUCAGUCUAAUUCUUCUGUAGCUCUGUAGUCUCAGCAGCUUAUAAAGAAUGGGAACUGAAGUGUAGUGUUAGUCAGUGCUGGGACUUCAUUCCUUGUUCUCGAUCCUCUCAUUCUCACACACAAGCAGCCCCUUUAAGACACCGAUCUACAAAUGACGUGAGUCUGCAACAAGCUCCAAGAGCAGCAGCCGGGACUGUAUUUCAAUCACCAGCAUCUCAUUUUUAGGCUUAUUUAUCACACUUCUGAUCAAAGCACCACUGCCAAGUUAGCACUUAGGGGAGGGCACUUGGAUGUGGUGGUGGUGGCACCACCUAAGCUCCAACUCACAUUACACUCAUUCGAGCACGGUGUUUAUCCCAAGAGCUAUUUCCUAUUUUAUUUUUUAGUUUAUUUUUGAGAAAACUGAUGGCGUUUUAAACUUUGUUAGUGCUUUUCUUUUUUAGCUAUUGAGAGUUGAUAGGACAAGGGGGAAUGGUUUUAAACUGAGACAUGGAAGAUUUAGGUUAGAUAUUAGGAGGAAGUUUUUCACACAGAGGUUGGUGACACACUGAAACAGGUUGCCCAAGGAGGUUGUGGAUGCCCCAUCCCUGGAGGCAUUCAAGGCCAGGCUGGAUGUGGCUCUGGGCAGCCUGGUCUGGUUGUUGGCGACCCUGCACAGAGCAGGGGGUUGAAAAUGGAUGAUCAUUGUGGUCGUUUUAAACCCAGGCCAUUCUGUGAUUCUAUGAUUCUAUGAUGAUAUGAAUUCCUCUGCAAUGAGCAGGGACACCUACAGCUCCAUCAGUGCUCAGAGCCCCAUUCAGCCUGACCCUAAAUGUCUCCAGGGAUGAGGCAUCCACCACAUCUCUGGGCAACCUUUGUCAUUUUGCAUUUGAUAAAAUCACUUCUUAGCAAAGGGACAAAAGGAGGCCCUUAAAUGUCUCCCACAAAGUGGAACCCUUCAAAGUGGUCCUAAAUGGUCCUAGGAAGGCUCAAGCCUCUGAUGGAAAUGGCAGGAAACAUCACCCUACAUCUGUCUCUGCCAUGAGAACAAAUUGCAGCCACUGCCCAGCCAAAUUGUCAGAGCUAGUUGUUGCACAUAGCGCAGACCCAGGGAAAUUUGCAGUUCCAACAGCAGAUGGCACAAUCCUAACAGUUAAAUCAGCCUGUAGUGCAGCCGUGGGGAAAUACUUCCCAGGAUACAAAUCUGAAAGCUCCUGGAAAAGUCCUACAGAGUGAGUCUGCUGGUUUGUCAACGUAAGCGGUCUGUUUUUGGAAAUAGUGCAUUUCCUCUUCAGGGGAAAUUAUUUAUAAAAGAAAAGGCAUUUCUGAGACCGCUUGGUAGCAGUGGAGUUUAUUUCAAGACUCUCAGGUAUGGCUGUCAUUUUCAAUGUAAUUACUAUUCUGUUCUAUUUUUCCACAUCCGUGAAUCAUAAGGCACUAUUUGAGUUGUCAUUAUAUAAAGUAGAAACAAUUUAUAGUGGCCACAGAUACAAAGACAUUCUGUUUAGUGGAAGGGAAGUGAAACUCUACAACUAUUUGAUUGAACAUAUGAUUUGCUUCCAUGCAGAUCUAAUCUUUUUGUGUUUCUUAAUAAACAUCCACUAUCUUACAGAAUUAGGCACAAGCAAAAUAGCAAAAUGUUUCUCAUGUUUGGAAUUCAGUGACCUAAACAAGAUAUAUCAGCUCCCAAAGCCCUAGCCCCUGAACAUGCGAGUGCAGCAAAUGUAGCAUUUGGAUUCCAUUAUCAUCAAUGGGAUUGUUAAGCAAAUGUUCUUGUUUUGGCACUCAUUGUAAAAACACACAGAAUAUGACCUAGAGAUUUUCCCUUAAUGGGCAGUAUGGGAAGUCUGAACAUAUAAUUCAGGAUGACCAUUUCUUGAGGUUUAAGGAUUUAAGAAGCUAAUCCAUCUUUUUGAUAUGCUAAGAAAUUGCUAGAGGAACUGUCUAGUGGUUAGAUCAGGAAACUGUGAGUCAAGGCGUCUGUUCCCCACUUUGCCAAUGAAUCAUUUCCUCUUCUUUGAGUCCCACAAAACACCCAGACAGAAUCUGUCCCCAAGUAAAACAAACCCUUUACCAGGUUCAGCCCUCAUGCAACUCCCAGGCUCCUGCUUGUAGUAGAAACUGUAGUGUGUGUUAGAACUGGAAAGCUUUAAACAUCAACAGAGACGGUUGUGUUGUGGUCCUAUAUGUGAAUUUUCCCUCUGAGAUUUCACUGAGUCCAGAGCUCUGCUAUCAGCCUUCCUGUGACAGCACACAGAAGCAGUCACCUCAGCAUGGUCCACUUUUUUUAUUUUUUUAUUUUUAUUUUUAUUUUUUUUUUCACUUUGCAGAAGUGCAGAGAAAAAUACUUUUGCAGUGCUAAGAAGCCGAUCUUCUAUAUUAGCAAUGUAUGAGGACUGGAGUGCCCAACUCAGCUAAGAAUCUGGGUGAUUUUCUUGCAGUUAGAAGGGUUGCUGUAUUCAGACAGUGAUUCAAACCAUGUAUUUGAUGUCUUUUAAUUGGGAUAGGAUGAAUUGUUUUCUGUAGCUGUGUAUCUUUCUCCACUAUUCAUAAAAGGAAAUGUCAAGCCAUUGUAAUCUCAACAUAUUGCCCCAGAUCAGUGCUUGAAUGGGUGGUAUCAACCAAUGCCACAGUCCCACCAUACUCCUCUGAGUCCCUGGCUCGUUCCCUAGGUAUCAGACCUCAUUAAGCACCAACUUGUCAAGUAUAACUAAAGUGUAUUUGCCACUGCAUUGUAGUGUCAAAAACUGCAGUUGCUGCUGAUGUGUUUUCAGUUGCUGCACAUUCCCUGACUCCACCAUGGCUUCACACUGAGGACCAUGCAGCUUCUCAGUUCAGUAAUGUUUGUCCUGGAACCAGCAUUUUCCCAGAGGCAGAGAACCAGUGUGAUGCUUUAGUAUCCAACUCAUCUAUCAUCCUGUCCCACUGCUAAUCAACCAAACAAAAAUAUGCACACUCGGAGAUAACAAGGACUAAGGGUCUUGCAGUUAUUUUCCACAGGGAUUCCAGGCAUUCUCAUAUUUGCAGUAAUUCCCAGAAGUUUACUUCCCAUCUCCUUGCACAAGAAGAGCAGCUCUCUACAACAUUCAGAGAAAAUGCCAGUUCUGAGUUGAAUAUCGCAGCAAAAAAUGGCUUCAACCCUCAGUAGCCAGCGGAGGAAGAGAGGCAAUUUCAGAAGAGGAAAAUAUGAAAGAAACAAUGCUUUAAACAUGGAAAUCAUAACGCUCUAUUCUUUCCUUCCAUUGUUUGUCUUAAAAACAAUUAAAACAGGAACUUUUUCACAAAGAAAAGAAUUUUCAGUUUUGUUUGCCCAUCUGACUGUAAAAACUCAGUCAGCAUUGGCCUGAUACAUUCCAACUAGUGCAUUUUUUUCCUACUUAUCUGUCAUCAGAGGUUGUUGUGGUUUGGGUAUGUGGAGGUAGAUACGCAGGCUGUAGAUGUUUACAUCGGAUCUAACUGUUUUCAGCUCUGCUUCCUAGCGUUUCUACGGCGAAUACUAGCGUAUUUCUUAUCCUAAUAUAGAGUAGGCCUAAUGAACAGCACCCCGGCAAUGCUUGUGUCUCCCUGCUGAUAACAAGUGGGCAUCAGCUCUGGUGGAGAUACCUGCUUUGCAAAUGCCUAAAUUCAGGUGGGAUAAAUCUUGUGUUCCAAGCUUGAUGCUAUAAGCCCCGAUUCAGCAAAGCACUUCAUGAUAGCAUAAAACAAAGCCUAAACUUAGACACUUCUCUUGGUUGAAGCCUCAGUUACUUAAGGAAUGAGCAGACAGUCAGAGCAGUUAGACUUUCACAAGGCUCAUGUUGGAUUUCCACCGUCUGACCUUUCCACUCCACUACAAGAGAAGUUUUCUUCCUUCAGUUUCCUCCUGAAAACACAUUUAUUUCCAGCCCCUCCUGGCAUUUGCUCUCCCUAUCCAAGUCACAUGCGCUGUGACCCAAAACUGGGGCCGGCCAAGCCUGAGGCCCACUAGGCCGUGCGUACUUGUGGCUUAUUGCCACUGGCCCUUAUCCUUUUGUUUCAUUUCUGUGUUUAGCACCAAGGUCUUCCUGGCUGAAAACUUUGCUUGAGAAUAUCCAGACUGCAUAAAUACAGAGCAGUGGGAUAACAGCUUCACGUUAUUUGGGCUUUGGUCUGUAAACUGUGCAGGGGCCGGCAGCCGGCGUGUCACCACCCCCCAAGAGCCUCUUGGAGCUGAGCAGAGUCUAUCAGCAAAACAUCUGAUUUUUGUUUUCUCCCUUUCAUGUCUUUUUCAUAUUUGAGGAAGCCCAAACUCACAAAUUAAAACAGUGCAAGACUGUGGUGGUGCAUGCAAUUAAACCAGCUAAAAUCGGUGAGCAGAGCAGCACUAAUUGCUGUUACAUCUGUUUUCAGCAAAACUAAGUGAUCUUUAAUACGUCCGUAUAUAUAUAUAUUAAUUUCCUUACUUUUUAAUGAAAGAUCAGUGUUAGUAAUUGUACAAAUAUGGAGGAGUAAACCUUGCAGUCACACUAAUUAUGUUUUUCAGUCAUCUUGGACCUUUGAGGCAGAGACAUAAUCAUCCCUUUUAUGAAGAAGUUACCACACUCAUCUCCAGACUGUGGCCAAUGUUUUUGCUGGGAAUAAUAAAUAAGGAUAGUGAUUUACUAUUGAUGUGUUUACGGUGUGAAGAUGUCAGAGGAGAUGUCCAAAUACUCAAAUCAAAUUGAUGUGCUUUGUCUAUAUGUGUCUAUUGAGAACCAGAGAAAUACAAUUGCUGAAUUGAAAGCAAGAACUGCUGCAAGCCUAAAGGUGCUCAGUGUGCAGAUUAAGUGGAAAUUGAUAACACUGGUAAUACAGGAACACAAAUAUGAUCCUUUUUUUCCCCCGUUACAACAAUUCCAAUUCUAUUCCCUGCUGGUCAGUAAAAUCAAUGGAGGUGCAAUGCUUAGUAUUGCACAGUACAGGUACUAUUAGUUGGUAGAAUCAUAGAAUCACAGACUCACUCAGGUUGGAAAAGGUCUCCAGGACCAUCUACUCUAACCAUCCAACUGCCACCAAUGUUACCCACUAACCAAGUCCCUAUGUACCACAUCUCCUAGUUUCUUAAAUUGUAGAUGCCUGAAACUAUUCUUAGUUUCACACAACUAAUUAACCAAUAAAACAAAUACACAAAUUAAGCUCACUAAUAGCUACACAGCUGUAAUUAAGAAUUAUAUUUCAUUCCAGUGGCUGUUAUUUCUAUGGCCAAGGUGACUGUAUUAAGGAACUGAGUAAAGCUGGGUCAGUAUUACCAGAAAUAAUGCUCAGCAAUUUUCUGGGUUAAAAUAUGUUAAUUUCCAUAACUCUCCAGAUCAGACUUUCAUUUCCUUGUAUCAAGGAAAGUAUCAAGGAAGUGUUUUCUUUCAGUUACUCCAUGUGUCAAGUUUCAUUAUUAGAUUUUUAUACAAUUAGGAAUGAAUAUUUUACUUCAUCUAUGUGACACUUUCGGUAAACUGCAGGCUGGAAAACAGAUGUGUUGUAUCUCUGUGUUAUAACUUUCUGAAAUGCUCUGUGGUAACGUAAAUAAAUGCAUUUUGGUUUCUCGAAAUAGGAGGUUCUUUCAACUGGAGGCAUAAAUGCUUCUAUAGAAUUGCUGAGAAAUGUUUGUUUAAACUCUGACAAUUUUUCAGUAAGAAAUGAGAGAAUGAGUUGAUCUAUUUUUUUCUGCAUUUUUUUUUCUUCUAUUAUGUUUUGUAUUAAAACAGCACUGUAAAAUAGCCUGUUUUACCCUGUUCUAACCUGAAUAAUUUCCCAUUAUUCUGAAGCCAUAUCAAGGUCAAAUUUGCCUGCAGUUCUUAUUUCUGAUUUCUAAGUAUUCAAAAUAUAAUGAGUAAUUAAGAACUACAAGCAGUACAAAAAAUGAUCUAUAAAUUCCAAAAAAGUAUUAAACACCCUGCUUGCAUAACUUCCAAGGUUUCACAAUUCUUGAGCAUUUCAUUUU